CACGUAGGGUGCGAGCGUUAAUCGGAAUUACUGGGCGUAAAGCGUGCGCAGGCGGUGAUGUAAGACAGGUGUGAAAUCCCCGGGCUUAACCUGGGAACUGCAUUUGUGACUGCAUCGCUGGAGUGCGGCAGAGGGGGAUGGAAUUCCGCGUGUAGCAGUGAAAUGCGUAGAUAUGCGGAGGAACACCGAUGGCGAAGGCAAUCCCCUGGGCCUGCACUGACGCUGAGGAGCGAAAGCGUGGGGAGCGAACAGG
rnacentral:rRNA from 1 species